UGUCUAUGCCAUACUACCCUGAACGUGCCUGAUCUUACCUGAUUUCAGAAGCUAAGCAGGGUCAGGCCUGGUUAGUACUUGGAUGGGAGAACAAGUUCAGGAGACAUGGACAC
rnacentral:rRNA from 1 species